GGUGAAACAGAUCAGGGCGGGGCAGGCAAUCACACAGGCGGGAAACACACGAGAGCAGCAAGUGAAGUAUUUGAAACGAGAGACAAGGUCAAGCAACGCAGUGCUUACACUGGCUGAAUGACUCAGUGCCCUCCUGUCCCCUCUCGGAAAGUUGUCCUGCGCUGAAUGGAUGCCUCAGACAUCUGCGACGACAGAAAGUAACCGAUGAAGGUCAACUAUCCAUCAGGCCCUGAGGAUGGAGAAAAGUCUGGGCCACUGAAUGAACAUUUAAAUGAUGAAUGUAUGUAGCAGAUGGACAUAAAUCCUAGAAUAAAUGCUGACCAAAUGUUUUCUUUUUAACAUCAAUACUGUCUACUAGACCUAAUAAGCUAUAGGACAUCUUUGUUAAAAAUGCUUGGACUAAGACAGCACUACGCAGAAUUUGAAUACCUUUACAAAUAUUGCUUUACUUACAUGCCUGUGCCUGAGAAUCAAUUAUAAAAGUGCUAUUGCUGCAAUUCUUAUUGAACUUGAUUUGUUAGGGCACACUUGUCAAAUAUUUCCAGCUGAGAUUAGUUUCAUAUAUAAAUCAUUUUUGUCCUGAAAGCGACCUCUAGUCUCAACUUCGCACAAGAGCAACAGGAUGAAACUGCAAAGCCACUUGAAUGAACACCCAUAAUAUUCUAGUCAUUACAUCAUUACAAUAACAGAUGAGCAAGACUGUAACGUAGUUACUGGUUCAAUAUUUAACUGCAAGCCAGCAGCCCUUUGCCAAUGAGGGAACAGAGCAACAACUGUGCCAGUU